rnacentral:rRNA from 1 species
GGACGAAAGUCGGGCUUAGUGAUCCGGUGGUUCUUAGUGGUAGGGCCAUCGCUCAUCGGAUAAAAGGUACGCCGGGGAUAACAGGCUAAUCCCGCCCAAGAGUUCACAUCGACGGCGGGGUUUGGCACCUCGAUGUCGGCUCAUCGCAUCCUGGGGCUGAAGCUGGUCCCAAGGGUUGGGCUGUUCGCCCAUUAAAGCGGUACGCGAGCUGGGUUUAGAACGUCGUGAGACAGUUCGGUCCUUAUCCUCCGUGGGCGUUGGAGUGUUGAGAGGAGCUGUCCCUAGUACGAGAGGACCGGGAUGGACGCACCUCUAGUGUACCAGUUGUGGCGCCAGCUGCAUCGCUGGGUAGCUACGUGCGGAACGGAUAACCGCUGAAUGCAUCUAAGCAGGAAGCCGGCCUCAAGAUGAGCACUCCCGGGCUUAGGCCCCACAGACCUGUUGAAGACUACAACGUUGAUAGGCUGCAGGUGGAAGCACGGCGACGUGUGAAGCUGAGCAGUACUAAUCGGUCGUGUGGCUUGACCUU